UUACUACUCCAUCCGUUUGGAAUUACUCGUCCAAGAAAUGAAUGUAUCUAGAUGUAUUUUAGUUGUAGAUACAUUCAUUUUUGUGACAAGUAAUUCCGAACGGAGGAGUACUAA
rnacentral:pre_miRNA from 1 species